UAGGGAAUCUUCGGCAAUGGGGGGAACCCUGACCGAGCAACGCCGCGUGAGUGAAGAAGGUUUUCGGAUCGUAAAGCUCUGUUGUAAGAGAAGAACGGGUGUGAGAGUGGAAAGUUCACACUGUGACGGCAUCUUACCAGAAAGGGACGGCUAACUACGUGCCAGCAGCCGCGGUAAUACGUAGGUCCCGAGCGUUGUCCGGAUUUAUUGGGCGUAAAGCGAGCGCAGGCGGUUAGAUAAGUCUGAAGUUAAAGGCUGUGGCUUAACCAUAGUAUGCUUUGGAAACUGUUUAACUUGAGUGCAGAAGGGGAGAGUGGAAUUCCAUGUGUAGCGGUGAAAUGCGUAGAUAUAUGGAGGAACACCGGUGGCGAAAGCGGCUCUCUGGUCUGUAACUGACGCUGAGGCUCGAAAGCGUGGGGAGCAAACA
rnacentral:rRNA from 1 species